UAAUAGAGACCCCGGUAGUCCACGCCCUAAACGAUGCGAACUGGAUGUUGGGUACAUUACGGUACUCAGUGUCGAAGCUAACGCGUUAAGUUCGCCGCCUGGGGAGUACGGUCGCAAGACUGAAACUCAAAGGAAUUGACGGGGGCCCGCACAAGCGGUGGAGUAUGUGGUUUAAUUCGAUGCAACGCGAAGAACCUUACCUGGCCUUGACAUCUGUCGAAUCCUGCAGAGAUGCGGGAGUGCCGCAAGGAACGACAAGACAGGUGCUGCAUGGCUGUCGUCAGCUCGUGUCGUGAGAUGUUGGGUUAAGUCCCGCAACGAGCGCAACCCUUGUCCUUAGUUGCCAGCACGUAAUGGUGGGAAUUCUAAGGAGACUGCCGGUGACAAACCGGAGGAAGGUGGGGAUGACGUCAAGUCCUCAUGGCCCUUACGGCCAGGGCUACACACGUACUACAAUGGUCGGUACAGAGGGUUGCGAAGCCGCGAGGUGGAGCCAAUCCCAGGAAGCCGAUCCCAGUCCGGAUUGGAGUCUGCAACUCG
rnacentral:rRNA from 1 species